GAGAAAGAAUGAUCGACUAAAACCGUCACGUCCUGUGACAACGUCGAUCUGACCCACGUCGUGUGGG
rfam:Pontibacillus marinus BH030004 = DSM 16465 strain BH030004 contig3, whole genome shotgun sequence.